rnacentral:rRNA from 1 species
AGUGAACGCUGGCGGUAGGCCUAACACAUGCAAGUCGAACGGCAGCACAGUAAGAGCUUGCUCUUACGGGUGGCGAGUGGCGGACGGGUGAGGAAUACAUCGGAAUCUACUUUUUCGUGGGGGAUAACGUAGGGAAACUUACGCUAAUACCGCAUACGACCUACGGGUGAAAGCAGGGGAUCUUCGGACCUUGCGCGAUUGAAUGAGCCGAUGUCGGAUUAGCUAGUUGGCGGGGUAAAGGCCCACCAAGGCGACGAUCCGUAGCUGGUCUGAGAGGAUGAUCAGCCACACUGGAACUGAGACACGGUCCAGACUCCUGCGGGAGGCAGCAGUGGGGAAUACUGGGCAAUGGGCGCAAGCCUGAUCCAGCCAUACCGCGUGAGUGAAGAAGGCCUUCGGGUUGUAAAGCCCUUUUGUUGUGAAAGAAGAACAGCAGGUUUAUACCCCGCUGUUCUGACGGUACCCAAAGAAUAAGCACCGGCUAACUUCGUG